CUAACACAUGCAAGUCGAACGAAGCACCUUACCUGAUUCUUCGGAUGAAGGUCUGGUGACUGAGUGGCGGACGGGUGAGUAACGCGUGGGUAACCUGCCCUGUACAGGGGGAUAACAGUUGGAAACGGCUGCUAAUACCGCAUAAGCGCACGAGAGGACAUCCUCUUGUGUGAAAAACUCCGGUGGUACAGGAUGGGCCCGCGUCUGAUUAGCUGGUUGGCAGGGUAACGGCCUACCAAGGCGACGAUCAGUAGCCGGUCUGAGAGGAUGAACGGCCACAUUGGAACUGAGACACGGUCCAAACUCCUACGGGAGGCAGCAGUGGGGAAUAUUGCACAAUGGGGGAAACCCUGAUGCAGCAACGCCGCGUGAGUGAAGAAGUAUUUCGGUAUGUAAAGCUCUAUCAGCAGGGAAGAUAAUGACGGUACCUGACUAAGAAGCUCCGGCUAAAUACGUGCCAGCAGCCGCGGUAAUACGUAUGGAGCAAGCGUUAUCCGGAUUUACUGGGUGUAAAGGGUGCGUAGGUGGCAGUGCAAGUCAGAUGUGAAAGGCCGGGGCUCAACCCCGGAGCUGCAUUUGAAACUGCAUAGCUGGAGUACAGGAGAGGCAGGCGGAAUUCCUAGUGUAGCGGUGAAAUGCGUAGAUAUUAGGAGGAACACCAGAGGCGAAGGCGGCCUGCUGGACUGUUACUGACACUGAGGCA
rnacentral:rRNA from 1 species